rnacentral:tRNA from 1 species
GGGACUUGUCUCAGUGGUUAUGCAAUGAAGGGAUAAGGCUUGGAACCUUAUGGUCUCAAGUUCGAAUCCUGGAGCACA